AGAGGCUGAGCUGGAAUGGCAUCUUCAUCAUUAAGGGCUGACCUAUUGGCUUGGCAUUGAAAUCAAUUUAGAACAAAUGGUCUCCAUUUCAAGUCAGCUUGAACCAUCUAAGCCCCAGAACAUGACACAGAAAGAAAGAAACAGUAAACUGCCUCUUCUACCAAUGUCUAAGAUGAAUGGUAAAAAUGCAUAUGAAUAGAAUUUUUCUUUUACGUGAUGAUACAGUGUUUUGGUGUCCCAAAUAAAUAAAAUCCAGUACUGUCCAAUUGAAAUAUAAUGCAAGCCACAUUUCUAGUAGCCAUAUUUUAAAACGUAACAAUGAAGUGUUGAAAUUUACCUUAAUACUGCCUUUUUUAAUCAAAUAGGUCCAAAACAUUAUUAUUUUGACAGGUAUUAUGAGUUGAGUUGUGUCCCCCACAAAAUUCAUGUUGAAGCCCUAACCAGCAGUACUACAGAAAUGUGACUAUAUUGAGAGAUGGGGUUUCAAAAGAAGUAAUUAAGUUAAAGUGGGUUCAUUAGGAUGGGCCCCAAUCCAAUAUAACUGGUGUUCUUAUAACAAGAGGCAAAAUGGACAUGGGCACACACAGAGGGAAGAUCAUGUGAUGACAUGAACCAAGAAGAGAGGUCUCAGAAGAAAUCAACCUGACGACACCUUGAUCUCAGACUUCUACCUUCUAGAAUUGUGAAAAAUACAUUUAUCUUGCUUAACCCACCUAGUCUAUGAUAAUUUGUUAUGGCAUCUCUAGCAAACUAAUUCAAUAUGUAAUCAAUUAAUCAAAAUAAAAUUUAUUAAUAAGA